AAUGGUGUAAUUUAAGUAUAAAAUUUCACUCUGCAAAUGUGAACUUACUCUCUGAGUCACCAUUU
rnacentral:tRNA from 1 species